rnacentral:rRNA from 1 species
CCUACGGGAGGCUGCAGUGGGGAAUAUUGGACAAUGGGGGCAACCCUGAUCCAGCCAUGCCGCGUGUGUGAAGAAGGCCCUCGGGUUGUAAAGCACUUUCAGUGAGGAAGAACGCCUGGUGGUUAAUACCCAUCAGGAAAGACAUCACUCACAGAAGAAGCACCGGCUAACUCCGUGCCAGCAGCCGCGGUAAUACGGAGGGUGCGAGCGUUAAUCGGAAUUACUGGGCGUAAAGCGCGCGUAGGUGGCUUGAUAAGCCGGUUGUGAAAGCCCCGGGCUCAACCUGGGAACGGCAUCCGGAACUGUCAAGCUAGAGUGCAGGAGAGGAAGGUAGAAUUCCCGGUGUAGCGGUGAAAUGCGUAGCGAUCGGGAGGAAUACCAGUGGCGAAGGCGGCCUUCUGGACUGACACUGACACUGAGGUGCGAAAGCGUGGGUAGCAAACAGGAUUAGAUACCCGGGUAGUC